UGGUGAGGUAGUUUAUAAGAGCGUCAGCUUGUGGGGCUGAAGGUGCCUAGGAAUAGGUCCUUGCUAU
rnacentral:tRNA from 1 species